UUGGAAAAUUAACAUGAAAAUGCAUGCCAACCAGAGACACGGUUCAGGCGAGCCUUCCACUCAUCACCAUGAUGGACAACCGUGCCGGAAAUCGCUUCUGGCGGCGGUGGCCACCAAAACAGGUAUCAAAUACAUCAACUGGUUCGUCCUCACCUCCUCUAUCAGAAUCUCAAUUCAAUUCUUCAAGAUCCCAAGCCUAGGUCUCUAACCUGAUUGAAAACUAUCAAGAAACCUAGGAGUUCAUAAUCAAAUUAAAUAACGACUAUGCCAUAAUUCACUCUCAAACCUUAGGGCUAUUGGUGUUGAUCCAAUACUCAAACUACAGGUAACUAGAAACGAAGAAAUCAAGAUGAAAUUUAGAAUGCUUACUGGAGUAGUUCGAAGGUGACAAUGACAAUGGAGUCUCAGGCUUUGGAUUAUUACUGUCUGGUAAUGGUUGGUGUGCUGACUUUGCAUUGGCUUGGCUUGGUGUGCAGUUGGUUUGUACGACUGUUGUGUAUUGGUUUAACAGGUUUGCAGUGGCAAUCAUUCUCAUUUGGAUUUAGUUCAUAUUUGAUGGUGGUCAAAUAUGGCAUGGCUUCAUGGAUGGUUUUGAUAGCUUGUAAUGGAUGUUGAUUGAAUGGUAUGUUGCAUUGGUUGAUGGCAGAGUUAAUGUGAAAUGGCUUGGAGAGUGGUCUGAAACAACAGGGUUUGGUAUUGUGGUUUAUGUGUGAUUUCUGAGAUGGCAGCUUGAAUUAUGACCUUGCUUCAACAUGGGUUUUCCCUAGCUUGUAAGUCCUGAUUGAGCAAUGUGAGCUGCAAGUUCUCAAUUGCCUUGAUAUGGUUCUACAGCCUGUUUGUGGUGUUGUUUGCUGCAACAUGUUUAUACCAUGCGCAUUGCUUCCUGUUUUUCUUAAUGAUGCUUAGCCAAGUUAGAAAUAUUUUCCAUGUUAUGAGAUGAUGCACACUAUGGUGAUGGCAAGAUAUGGUUAAGGCAUGGGAUGACCUACUGCAAGAGCAAUGAUUGAAGUGGUUUUAUAUGGUUAUGUGACCCUGCUUGGAGAAAACAUCAUUGUGGACUUGUGCAGCAGGUGUUCUAACCUUGUUCUUCAGGUAGCAUGACCAUGGCUUCUGUAAUGGUAUUGCAGCAGGUAGGUUGGAUGCAGGUUAUGCAACAUUGAUCAUGGCAUGUUGCAGCAUGCUCAUUCGGCUCAAGGUAUUGUUUUGAACUGUACUCCUUAUGUUAUGCAAGUCCAUUUGCGUUUGGCCUUGUUUCACAAUACAAGUAUAAGCUCAUUUCAACUAUGAUUUUGGUUCAUUGGCUUCAUGGCUUGAACUUGGUCUGUAGCAUGGUUUUUGACCUAGUUCUGCAACGUUAUCUUGCAGCAGGUAUGAUGCCUUGGUGUGCCUUACUACAGGUGUUUAUAUGCUACAGAAACCACAUGGUCUUGCAAGCUGUCAGCAUGUGUGUGCAUUGCUAAACUGACCCUGCUGCAAGAUUUAUUUGGCUCACGACAUGAUGUUAAUAUCAUUGCUAAUGGUCACAUAGAUUCCUUCAUUAUUGUGAUGCAGAUGAACAUAGUCAAUGCGCUGAUUUAAGAUGAGGUGAUGCAUUGUUCUUGACUUUGGUUUUAUAGGUUCACACAUGAAUGGAAACUUGCAUUUGAACCAAUCAAUUAGAGCACACAUGGACUUUGGUGAUGAAUUGAGACAAGAUAGAAUGGGGUUAGGUCUAGGUCUUGGAAAUUAGGGUUUUAGGAUUUUGGGUUGACUUUAGUCACAGUUGACCAAAAAGUCAACUGUUGACCAAAGUCAACAUUUGGUUAAUAUUUCCAUUUUUUGUAUUUUUUAUGUAAUGAAUAUUCUUGGAUUGUAAUGAAAGGAAUUGAAUAUUCUUGGAUGAAAA